rnacentral:rRNA from 1 species
CGGAGGGUGCAAGCGUUAUCCGGAUUCACUGGGUUUAAAGGGUGCGUAGGUGGGCAGGUAAGUCAGUGGUGAAAUCUCCGGGCUUAACCCGGAAACUGCCAUUGAUACUAUCUGUCUUGAAUACCCUGGAGGUGAGCGGAAUAUGUCAUGUAGCGGUGAAAUGCUUAGAUAUGACAUAGAACACCCAUUGCGAAGGCAGCUCACUACGGGAAUAUUGACACUGAGGCACGAAAGCGUGGGGACCAAACAGGAUUAGAUACCCUGGUAGUCCACGCCCUAAACUAUGGAUACUCGACAUCAGCGAUAAACUGUUGGUGUCUGAGCGAAAGCAUUAAGUAUCCCACCUGGGAAGUACGAUCGCAAGAUUG